rnacentral:rRNA from 1 species
GACGAACCGUGCGAACGUUGUUCGGAAUCACUGGGCUUAAAGGGCGCGUAGGUGGUUUGCCAAGUCGGGGUUGAAAUCUUUCGGCUUAACCGGAAAAGUGGCUUCGAUACUGGCAAGCUGGAGGGAGGUAGGGGCGGAUGGAACUUCCGGUGGAGCGGUGAAAUGUGUUGAUAUCGGAAGGAAUGCCGGUGGCGAAAGCGAUCCGCUGGACCUCUUCUGACACUGAGGCGCGAAAGCCAGGGGAGCAAACGGG